rnacentral:rRNA from 1 species
UACGUAGGUGGCAAGCGUUGUCCGGAUUUACUGGGCGUAAAGCGCCCGCAGGCGGCUUGUUAAGUUCAAGGUGAAAUCUCCCGGCUUAACUGGGAGGGUGCCUCGAAAACUGGCAGGCUUGAGGUGAGGAGAGGGAUGCGGAAUUCCAGGUGUAGCGGUGAAAUGCGUAGAUAUCAGGAGGAACACCAAUGGCGAAGGCAGCUCGCUGGGACGGUACUGACGCUGAGACGCGAAAGCGUGGGGAGCAAACAGG